CAGCACAUUGCCCAGUCACGAGCAGACCCAACAGGGCUUUCAGCCAAUUAAAGUUAAGUUCAUACAUUUCAUAUCCAAUCACGGGUACCAUUGAGGAGUCGUACUGCUCACAGCUCGCUGUGACUUCUGGGACCUACCGUUGCGCUGGAACGCACACAAUUGAGCCAACGUACCAGUUUAAAUAUCCAUUUUGAGCUUUCAUUGCAGUUCGUCUGAGCAGUUCUUAGGACCUGGGUUCAAAUCCGGCAUGACCUGUGUGUUUGUUCUCCCUGUGCCGACGUGGGUGUUCUUCGGCCACUCUGGUUUCUUUCCUCAUCUCCAAAACAUGCAUGGCGAAAGUCGCACUUGCACUUUCAUAUUUCCCAUCAUCUUUAAACUAUGUCAGCUGUAUCUGAAAAGAUGGCAGUGAGCUUUUCACAGCUGCUGCCUCCAUGGAAGAGCCCAAAUGCACACUCUUAUCUCCAACAUUGUCAUUUAGUCCAUGCGAGUUUUGUUUUUUGAUUCUUUUAUGUUAAACAAAAAGCUCCAAACCUCAGGUUAUUGGUUGUUUUUUUGGAUACCCUGUGCAAACAUAAUUUGCAUGCUUUGUGUUGAUGAAAUGUCAUAAAUUUCUGAUCUGGAAAGUUCUCUAAAGUUCUGGUCAUUUUAUUGAAUUUAAAAAAAAAAUGAAAUGACUUACUUUAUAUUCGUGAAACAGCAUUUACCUACUUGUGAUGCUGUGACCAACAACUCUCAUGACUUCCCUGACUGCCCUUUCGUGUACUGACAUUGAACAUGAUGUCACAUAAUUGCCAAACCAGCGAGGCCAAAUCAACAGCAAUUCCAACUCUCCACUAGUGACAAUACCCCCCUCAAGUACUCUGUUAAAGGAAAUCCAGGUUGACGGGAUUAGGAGCGAACUUGUGUCAGUCCGUGAAUGAUGCUGCCAAUACUCCAAGGGGCUGGCCAAGGUUCUGGCAUGUAACUAAAUUGUCUCAACUACAUGAACUUCUUCCCCAGUUGGAAUUGUAAAAAGAGUAGUGCUGUCUUGUCUCACAAAGGAACUAAAUUUUGUUUCUUGCUGUUAUUUUGAAAUGCAGCCCUUCUUUUAUUUAAUAAAUGAGAGAACAUUUCAUAGUUGUACAGACACUGUAUAUUUGAUAAGAAGGACAGAAUUCGCAAUGUAUGUAGAAAUAUAUACAAUGCUCUCAUAAAAUUAUAUCAGUAUAAUAAAAAAAAAAACACAUCCAUGAUACUAACAUUUAUCUUGAAAUUUUGGGGAAAGUAUAUUUUUCUUAAAAAAAAUUGCUAUCGUGUUAUUCCUAAACACAUAAUAUAUUGAUAAAGCGUGAGACCAAAGGAUUAAUAUUAAAGAUUAUAGAAUAACAGCUCUGAUAAAUAGCUGCAGCAUUGUGAAAUCGUGAAGGAAGAACCGCUAUGUAGGGUAGGAUUCCUGUAUCUGUAUUCUGUGAUCAUAAAUUGGAGGGACUGAUUGUUUCCAUGACGUGCAUCCUCGGACUCAAAUAGUCUCAAGUGUAAAAUGAUGCGGUUUAACACACCCUACACCCCAGAAUAAUCAGUCAGUAUAAUGUUUAGAGCUAUCCUAUAAUUGGGCCUUUGCUGAGUUAGAACAGUCGGGAAACAUAUUCUACUGUAACAUCUUUCUAAAGUAAAAUAAAAUGUAAUCUGGACGUGUCUGGAUCUCUCGGGUUGGUACUAAAACCGAGUGGCUAUUGGACACAUUAUUCAGUAGGACUGAAUGAAUGUAAACUGGUUCUGAUUCUGAUGAGGCAUCAAUGUUGCUUAUGUCCAAAUGGUAAAAAUUUUCAUUUUUAUUGAACUGUAUCAUUUUAUAUUUUGCUUAUUAGCAUUUCAUUUCUCCAUAUUCAUUUUACCCCUAGCAAGCACAUUCAUAAGUGGUUUCAAAUGAUCUGUCCAAUUUGAAGAACGCCAAACAACAUUGCAGAGUGGUUGUAAGAAGCUGUCCUGUCUUUGUAUAUUAAUUAGUGGGACAGAACAUUGAAACAAAGUGCAUUUAAUGCACAUUUCAUGUAGAGGAUGUGUUAAAUGCAUUAGCUCCUGAAAAUAAGAUACUUUAAACCAAAUUGCUGCUGUUUAGAAGUACUAUGAUGAUUUUUUA